GGCGGGCAAGGCCGGCCGCCGGUAGUCUCUCGGUCGGUCGGUCGGCCGGUCAGAACGUCGCCGCCGUC
rnacentral:miRNA from 1 species